GACGAACCGUCCAAACGUUAUUCGGAAUCACUGGGCUUAAAGGGUGCGUAGGCGGUCCGGUAAGUUGGGUGUGAAAUACCUCGGCCUAACCGAGGAAUGGCGCCCAAAACUGUCGGACUCGAGGAAGACAGAGGUGAACGGAACUUAGGGUGGAGCGGUGAAAUGCGUUGAUAUCCUAAGGAACACCGGUAGCGAAAGCGGUUCACUGGGUCUUUUCUGACGCUGAUGCACGAAAGCCAGGGGAGCGAACGGG
rnacentral:rRNA from 1 species